rnacentral:rRNA from 1 species
GAUCCUGGCUCAGAACGAACGCUGGCGGCGCGUUUAAGCAUGCAAGUCGAGCGGCAAGGGCCUUCGGGCCCCUAGAGCGGCGGACGGGUGAGUAACACGUGGACAAUCUGCCCCCCGGCCCGGGAUAGCCCAGGGAAACCUGGAUUAAUACCGGAUGAGACGGGACCCGCGAUGGCGGGAUCCGGGAAAGGCGCUGCGGCGCCGCCGGGGGAUGAGUCUGCGUCCCAUUAGCUAGACGCGGGGUAACGGCCCACCGUGGCGACGAUGGGUAGCCGGCCUGAGAGGGUGGACGGCCACAUUGGAACUGAGACACGGUCCAGACUCCUACGGGAGGCAGCAGCUAAGAAUCUUCCGCAAUGGGCGAAAGCCUGACGGAGCCGACGCCGCGUGAACGAAGAAGGCCGUGAGGUUGUAAAGUUCUUUUCGGGAGGGGGAACAACCGUGGCAGGGAAUGGCCGCGGGAUGACGUGAAUCCCGGAAUAAGCCCCGGCUAACUACGUGCCAGCAGCCGC